GAACAAUAGUCAGACUGAAUGUUGAACAUCAGCUGCUUCCUCCUGCUGAUUUAAACCUUGGUGGACAGAUGGAACAUUGGCUGUGGAUUAUUCUGGCUGCUCUUUUCUCUGAGUGUAAAGGAGACUCAGUGAAGCAGACAGAAGGAGAAGUUGUUGCUGCUGCAGGAGAAUCACUGACUCUGAGAUGUACCUAUGAGACCAGCUUUACUCCCACAUUGUUCUGGUACAAACAAGAUAAAAACGGUUUUCCAAAGUUCAUGCUGAAGCAACUGUCAUCAAUGAAAGAUAAAGCUCCAGAGUUCAACAGCAGCAGAUUUGAUGCUGACCUCAACAGCACCAUAAAAUCCUUCAACCUGAAGAUCCAGGAUCUCCGUCUGUCAGACUCUGCUGUGUACUACUGCGCUCUGCAGCCCACAGUGACAGGAAACACCAGAACCCUGUACAAAAACCUGCAGUACUCCACAGCAGCCACUAGAGGGCCUUGUGACAACAUUAUGCCCAAUCCAUCGGAUUUAAGGAGUAAUAAGCACACAUGACGUAAAAUAUUUUAAUGAAAAGUAAAUGAGAAAGAAAACCUUAAAUCAAGGUUGCAGAAAAGAAUGGAAAUGGGCAAGAAACACAAAGAUGUUUCUACUGAGGACAGAAUGGAGAACGACAGAGGGAGAAAUGAAGAGUGAACUCAGAAAAGAGAGAUGACUGCAGACUGACUGACUGAGAAAGAUAAUAAUGUUAGAUAAAUAUUAAGUCAUUAAAUGCAAACUUAGAAUAUAAUAGGAUAUGCAUAUAAUCAAUUCAGUAUGUAUGAUUUCAUGGUUUCUGUUCAUUAAUUAAUUUUAUCUGUCAAAGACAUAAAAGUCUGUGGGCGGGGCUAACACUGACCAAGGCUAACACUGAACGAAGCUAACACUGGGUGUGGCUAACAUUGAGCGAAGCUAACAUUGAGCUAAGCUAACACUGGGUGUGGCUAACAUUGAGCGAAGCUAACACUGAGCGAAGUUAACACUGAGCGAAGCUAACACUGAGCGAAGCUAACAUUGAGCGAAGCUAACACUGAGCGAAGCUAACACUGAGCGAAGCUAACAUUGAGCGAAGCUAACAUUGAGCGAAGCUAACACUGAGCGAAGCUAACACUCACCUGUGGAAAUCUGCUAGUUUAUUCUGAUUCUUUGAACAUCAAUAAAGUCUUUGACUUUA